UGAGGAACAUGACUUUCGGUGGGGGAGUAGCCGGCCCAACGGCCGGGUAAUACCGCGUACGACCUUUUGGGGACAUCCCCGAUGGGUGAAAGCAGCAAUGCGCCGAAAGAGUGCCUCGCGGCCUAUCAGCUAGUUGGUGGGGUAAUGGCUCACCAAGGCGACGACGGGUAGCUGGUCUGAGAGGAUGGCCAGCCACAUUGGGACUGAGACACGGCCCAGACUCCUACGGGAGGCAG
rnacentral:rRNA from 1 species